rnacentral:lncRNA from 1 species
UUGAUAGCAUGUAACCGAUACCCAUCUACCCCUGCUCUCCUUUGUCACCCUUCAACCGAUGCCUCAUCAAUUAAGAAACAUCAGUUACAAACCCUAGCAAUUUAUAAACCCUGCUCAUCGGCUCCAAUUAAUCUGUGAUUUUCUCAAUUCUGCGCUGUUUUGGUUAUGUUAUAUCGUCUCCGAUAUUGUCUCAAUUCCUUCCCCCAACAUAGAAACACUAGAAAUCGAUGAACGAGAGUAGAAAUCGGUUAAAUGGUACCUGUAAUUGCACUCGUUUUGGGUUAGAUUCAAGAAAGGGUGAAAAACCGUUGUCCUAUGGUUCGGAUGGAGAGCAUUUCAGAUGAUCGAGCUUUCCAACUAUUUCAUCAGUUGGUCCAAACGGUUCAAUUAUUCAUUACGAACCAGAAGCUAAAACAUGUGCGGAACUCCAUCCAAAUCGCAUGUAUCUUUGUGAUUCUGGAGCUCAGUAUUUUGAUGGGACAACGGAAACGGAUAUAACUCGGACCGUUCAUUUCGGAAAGCCUUCUGAACAUGAAUAAAGAUGUUAUACUGCGGGUGUCAGCAAGGGAGGCCUAAAAGGAAUCGCCCACAUAACAGGAGGUGGUUUAACAAAUAAUGUCCCUCAAGGCCUCGGGGCCCGCAUUUACAACAACUUUUGGUCCGUUCUUCCUAUUUUCAAGUGGAUCCAAAAGGAUGAAAACAUUGAAGAUGCUGAAAUGAAGCGUACAUUUAAUAUGGGAAUCAGGAUGCUAGCGAAGAGGCUGCCCAAAGGAAAGAGGUAGUAUUCGACUAUUUAGUUAUGUGAUCUUGAUUACCAUUAAGUAUGUAACUUAGGCUCUAUAUGUUUGAUCUUACACAUGAUUUGCACAAGAUAAAGAUAGUAGAGGUGUGUAUAUGU